rnacentral:rRNA from 1 species
AGUGAACGCUGGCGGUAGGCCUAACACAUGCAAGUCGAACGGCAGCACGGUAAGAGCUUGCUCUUACGGGUGGCGAGUGGCGGACGGGUGAGGAAUACAUCGGAAUCUACUUUUUCGUGGGGGAUAACGUAGGGAAACUUACGCUAAUACCGCAGACGACCUACGGGUGAAAGCAGGGGAUCUUCGGACCUUGCGCGAUUGAAUGAGCCGAUGUCGGAUUAGCUAGUUGGCGGGGUAAAGGCCCACCAAGGCGACGAUCCGUAGCUGGUCUGAGAGGAUGAUCAGCCACACUGGAGCUGAGACACGGUCCAGACUCCUACGGGAGGCAGCAGUGGGGAAUAUUGGACAAUGGGCGCAAGCCUGAUCCAGCCAUACCGCGUGGGUGAAGAAGGCCUUCGGGUUGUAAAGCCCUUUUGUUGGGAAAGAAAAGCAGCAGGUUAAUACCCCGCUGUUCUGACGGUACCCAAAGAAUAAGCACCGGCUAACUUCGUG